AUUUUUGCGCAGUGGCAGUAUCAUAGCCAGUGAGGUUUAUCCAAGGGGUGACUGUUGCUAAUUGAAAACUUUUCCCAAUACCCCUCCAUGACAACUUGAAAUAUAGUUGGCGUUAAAAAAAA
rnacentral:snRNA from 1 species